UAUUGCACAAUGGGGGAACCCUGAUGCAGCCAUGCCGCGUGUGUGAAGAAGGCCUUCGGGUUGUAAAGCACUUUCAGUAGGGAGGAAAGGUAGCGUGUUAAUAGCACGUUACUGUGACGUUACCUACAGAAGAAGGACCGGCUAACUCCGUGCCAGCAGCCGCGGUAAUACGGAGGGUCCGAGCGUUAAUCGGAAUUACUGGGCGUAAAGCGUGCGCAGGCGGUUUGUUAAGCCAGAUGUGAAAUCCCCGGGCUCAACCUGGGAAUUGCAUUUGGAACUGGCGAACUAGAGUCUUGUAGAGGGGGGUAGAAUUCCAGGUGUAGCGGUGAAAUGCGUAGAUAUCUGGAGGAAUACCGGUGGCGAAGGCGGCCCCCUGGACAAAGACUGACGCUCAUGCACGAAAGCGUGGGGAGCAAACAGGAUUAGAUACCCUGGUAGUCCACGCCGUAAACGAUGUCUACUCGGAGUUUGGUGACUUAGUCACUGGGCUCCCAAGCUAACGCAUUAAGUAGACCGCCUGGGGAGUACGGCCGCAAGGUUAAAACUCAAAUGAAUUGACGGGGCCCGG
rnacentral:rRNA from 1 species